UACGUAGGUGGCAAGCGUUGUCCGGAUUUACUGGGCGUAAAGAGCGCGCAGGCGGUCAGAUAAGUCGAAUGUGAAAGCCCCCGGCUCAACUGGGGAGGGUCAUUCGAUACUGUUCGACUCGAAGGCAGGAGAGGGAAGUGGAAUUCCCGGUGUAGUGGUGAAAUGCGUAGAUAUCAGGAGGAACACCGGUGGCGAAGGCGGGUCUCUGGGCCGAUACUGACGCUGAGGAGCGAAAGCGUGGGGAGCGAACAGG
rnacentral:rRNA from 1 species